UCUCUCGUGGUGUAGGAGUAACGCGCCCUGUCUAGUAAACAGCGGGUCGUGAGUUCGAUUCUCAUCGAAAAGA
rfam:Aedes aegypti strain Liverpool supercont1.466 genomic scaffold, whole genome shotgun sequence.